rnacentral:rRNA from 1 species
UACGUGGGGGGCAAGCGUUGUUCGGAAUUACUGGGCGUAAAGGGCGCGUAGGCGGCUCGCUAAGUCGGAUGUGAAAACUCUGGGCUCAACCCAGAGCCUGCAUUCGAAACUGACGAGCUCGAGUUCUGGAGGGGAAAGCGGAAUUCCUGGUGUAGCGGUGAAAUGCGUAGAUAUCAGGAGGAACACCGGUGGCGAAGGCGGCUUUCUGGACAGAAACUGACGCUGAUGCGCGAAAGCUAGGGGAGCAAACAGG